AAGAAGCAAAACCUAGAUUUCCGUGUCUAACUUUGACUGUCCGUUUUAUAUGAAAUUUUUUUAUAAUUCGUAUUUUUAUUAUUGUUAAAUGAUAAAACAUGAUUAAUAUUUUAUGCGUGACUUGUCUUUUUAAUUUUUUUUCAUAUUUUUUUUAAAUAAGACGGACAGUCAAACGUUGGACACGGAAAUCAGGGUUUGUCUUUUU
rnacentral:pre_miRNA from 1 species